GUCCACGCCGUAAACGAUGGAUACUAGCUGUUGGGGGCAACUUCAGUGGCUAAGCGAAAGUGAUAAGUAUCCCACCUGGGGAGUACGGGCGCAAGCCUGAAAACUCAAAGGAAUUGACGGGGGCCCGCACAAGCGGUGGAGCAUGUGGUUUAAUUCGAUGAUACGCGAGGAACCUUACCAAGGCUUAAAUGUAGUCUGACCGAUUUGGAAACAGAUCUUUCGCAAGACAGAUUACAAGGUGCUGCAUGGUUGUCGU
rnacentral:rRNA from 1 species